rnacentral:snoRNA from 1 species
AACCCAUGAUGUGGGACAUCAAUCAAAAGAUCUCUGAAUCUCUCCCAAGCUGCAUGUAGAGAUUCCCCGUCGUCCUGCUUGAACAUCAUAAUAUGAUUCUUUAGGUU